CUUGUACCCUUCAAGCUCCAAGGCUCCAGUGUGCACUCUGCCCAUUUCCUGAUCUUCCCAGGUGACACUCCCCUCCCCCGACACUGAACAGAGAAAGCGUCCCGCCCACAGCCCACAGCCCACAGUCCUCUGCCUCUGAGACAGACAUGCAUGCACUGGGGACGUGAGUCACGGCAUUCACCCAUCUGAAGCUAUUAUUGGAAUGGCUGUGCACGCCGUGCACGCCUGCUUCCCGUAUUCUACAGGCCAGGGCUCCAGGAGCUGCUAACCACACACUGCUCUGCCCGAGAUGCCACUUGGAUGAUCACGAGGUGGUUGCUUGGAAAGGGUGAAUGCUUCCAAGAAAGCAGGUGUCUGUUUAGCAUUUUGUGGUUGGAAACACUGAACCAGAGCUGUAUAUUUGAGCAGGGAAAGGAUACUUCAACCCACCAGGAACAAAACUCAAAAACUACCAUGCAGCUUUCGACAAAUAUACACAACUGAUGACCGCAAUGGGUUCUCAUGUCAGUGGAAGCCAAAGAAGCAGAACCAAGAAAUAUGGGAGUGAAGAUUUGUCACUACAGCAGAUAAUUGCUGGGUGCUUGGAAGCCUGGUCACCAUCCACCUAAGGACUGACAGAAAGCAUCCCACCAGGAUCCAAGUGGACUUUUAGCCAGACAACAGCCAAGCUGAGCACUGAGAUUUCAGAAAAUGACCUCAAUGCCGGGCCUUUCAGGAAACUAUUGGAGGAUGUACUGACCAAAAUAGGAGAUAAACUAGGGAAGAGGAAGACAGGCUUUUAGGAAACAGGAGCCCACACAGGAAGGCGGUGAUGGGAAAUCCCAGGAUGAUGACGCAGGGAAGUCCCCAAACAACAGCUGUGCAACAAGCAUGAAGAAGCAGCCCACAGUGGAACCAUACAGAGGAUUCCAGAAAAAAACAAUAUUGGAACUCAACAGUUCCCAAUGCAUUUGAAGUUGUGAAAGGUUUAGUGGUGAUUAUAUAUAGCCACUGGAAGGCAUGGUAUAGAUUUUUUUUUUGUAAACUUGAUCAAAUAAAACAUUAGUUAAUGAUUUAA